UUGGCCUUACAUUCAAACAAACCCAAACGAAAAUUCAGAUGACUAUGUUUAAAAAUGUGUAGGGAGCCUGUGAAGAUCAGUGCUCAACCAGGAAGGGUGAACUGAUCACCCUUUUCUCACUCCUGGACUGCUUUUCCACCUUUCAUGUUGACAUCAUCUGAUUCUGAUUCUAAUAUUCUCCUAGCCCCUUCCUCACAUUCUGCAAGGUUACCGUAGAAACAGCGAGAAACAACUUUGCAUCAUCGCUAUUCCGUUGCCCACUUCUUACCGGACGCUCGACCAGUAAGCAGUGCAAGGAGUGCUCUCAGCUUACCCUGUUUGUGUUACUUCAGCAUUCCUAUCAACAUGGCAGGAGUGGUUGCAAACAGAAAUGAACAAGAUUCAGGCCUCUUUGCAGAGAAUAGACAUUUAUGCACCUCUGACUGUAUCACAGCAGGCAAAAUACUGUGUACAGAAUUGGAACAGUUCUCCAGGGUCUCAGGAUUGCAAGUUACUUUUAAGAAAGCAGAGACUUGGGUGAACGCGUGAGAUGGAGGAGGACCCUGGAACCUAUCCCUGAGGGUUUCAGAAAAAGCCAGCCUGCCUGUGGGAAGGAAGAUAGGGGAGACCUGGCCAUAAAAGGGAUAGGCAUACCUAGCCCCCCAAAAAGAACCCCCCAAAGAGAAAAUAAUACAAGGCCAAAACUGAAGCCAAAAAGGUGGAGAAAGGGGGCAGCCGAGGGAACAAAAUAACCCUUGAGGAAAGGCCUAAAAAACACACUGAAAGCUUCUUUCAGCUGGUGCCCCCUCCCUAGCCCCCCUCCCGGCCAAAGCCAUCAGCCCGAUUUGGGUGGAGGCUGGCACCCCUUUCCUUUCCCACCCAUGUGGAUUACCCCAAGCCGUCAGCAGGACCAUUUGGCUCGCAUCCACAUAGGUGGGCAACCAUUUAUCACCUUUCCCUCCCUACCCACUGGAGACCCCUGCCCAGCAUUGCUGGCAGGGGUCUCACCCUACCUGACCCGCCACCCUUGCCCACCCCCAACCCUCCAUAUUGCCAGACACCCAGCCCUCUGAAGUAACACCUCCAGCCCCAUCCCAUCCAACCCCAGCCCAUCAGGGGAUUAAAUACAUACGAAGCCUCUGGAAAAUAUGAAACAUCAAGUCAGGGGAUUCCCUCCAUUGACCAAGGUGAAUUUGUGCCCGCUCACCACCUUCCCCCCACCUCCAAAACCUUCUGGCAGCGAAACAGGAGAAUACUGACAACUAAAUAAGAAUCCCAUCCACUCAGAACUCCUGUUUCCUGUCUUAACUCUCUCUGCCACUGACCUCAUGGGCAAAAUACACAUGGAUUGAUACUAGUACAAUUGCUGACUAGACAUAGGAGCCAUGCUUUCUACCUUGAGUGAAAGCCAUCUAAACCCAAGUAAAACUUGCUAGAGGUAAAGCAGGAGCACCCAGAGAUACCUUGGGAACUGGAGGAGGCAGUGCCCCCUUGGUUAUGGGGUACCACUCAGUGGCGUAGCUAGAGGGGUGUGGGAGGGAUGGAUUGCCCCAGGCAGCUCUGGGCCUGCAGGGCGCCCGAGCUGCCGCAUCCGUCCCAGGCGCCCCCCCCCCAGCUGGUGGACACUCGGGGGAUGUGAUGCCUCAAGUGCCCUACAGGCCCAGCGCUACCUGAUUUGGGGGGCGGGGGGUGAGAAGGUGUUUUGUUUCAUUUUUACAGUUCUCUCGAUUUUUACUGCAUUCUAAAAGAUUGCCAAACGGAUAUGCCCACCCUGAACCCAUGUUCGGUGCCAUCAUCUGGGAAGGAAGGGGCUAUGCUGGCCCGUACAAAACUGGAAAUGACUCUUCGAAGAUCAUUUAAUCAUUUACUGCGAUUGUCUGACUUUGUACUAGAAAUCAUUUAAUUUGUAUCUGUAACUGGAUUCUGUUACGUAUGUUUACGAUUUCAAGAAUUAAUGUCUCUCUGCAAGGAAUGAGUGUGGAUCUUUUGAUUUAUUAGAUGGAUUGAAAUAUGGAUUUUAUCUGCCAUGUGACGAUGCCCUGAAUGUUUCAGUUGAGAAUCUGAAAUGCUGCUAUAUGUGAUGUGUAUAUUUCUUGCCAUCUACUGGCAGAAAUGCACUUCUUCAUGCCCUUAAAAUAUGUGCUGCAAU